AAGAAGGUGGGAUCAAAAGGAUUUUGAGCAGCAUUCUAUGCCACUUAGUAUUUGACAUCUUUGAGUUGUUCUACCUCAACUUGAAUGCAAACUGAAACAUCAGGUAAAAAAUGGUGGCAACAGGAUACGCUUACUUAUCAUUGAUUCUACAUCAUAUUUCAUAACACCCAUCCUUGGAGGCAAAAAUUCACAAGGACUACUGUUGAUGAUUUCAACUGGAAUUCUGCUGAAGAAAAUAGCAAAUGAAUACAACCUGACAGUAACAUUGCAUAUUUUGUGCUUGGCUGCAUGAUUCCUGAAUCAUUUCUCUGUGAUGAAAUGCAUGCCUUUUUUUCCCCUAGUUUAUUUUGUUGCUACUGUUCUUAGAAAACUACCUAGUUUUAAUCUUGAAUGAAUAUAAACUACUAUUUCUUGUGUAGGACAUGUUCGUGAUCUGAGCUCCAGUUGUGUGUGGCACGACGAGUAGUCUGGAUCAAGCCUUAUGUAACUUGCUCCUAUCUGGUAAUAUCUCAAGCUUGAAAUGCAAAUAGAACACUAGAUGCAUGAUCCAUGAUUCGUUAUCUGUUCUUAUUAGGCAAAGCUUAUUAUCAUCAUAUUUUCACUACUUUCCAUACAAUUUUUCUUAAAAAUUUUGACCCAUGUCAUGUUAUAAAAAGCAUUGAUCAGAUAACCUUGUAGAUGAAAUAUGUCUAUGUUUUUAUAUAGAGAUGUUAAAAGUAUAUUUUGAUUGUCCGAUGUGCAAGCAUUGAUGUUUUCUUACAAAAUUAUAUCGAGUGCAUGCUCAACAAAAACCCUAUAAUACGGAGGUCAGGAAAUGAGUUUGGAGGAUUCAUAAGAUUGAGUAGAAUGCAUCCCGAUCUCUUGUAGUGAUGUAACAUUUGACGAUGUAAGAUCCGUGGAAGGUGGAUUGGAAUCUUGGAUGUUACGAGUAGUAUAGUUAUGAGCUUUAUUAAUCAAGUGGAUGCUUUGAUAGACAUAGCAUGGCUGAUAAGUUUACCUUCAAGAACAGCCCAAAUUGAAUGAUCAGAUAUAGGGUUUCCUUGAUCCACAGGCGACACUGCUCUAAGAAGCGUGGUGACGGCUUUCCUGCUACGCCAAUACCUUUUCCUUUACUGGUACUGUCAGUGGGCCGGUCCCAAACUGGCUUCAAUAGCAAGGCAGGUACUGAGCAGCAGUAGUAAGGGUGUCUUGGAGCAGUGUGACUGACUUGUAGGAUAAGCCAAUCAAGUCGCUGGCGUACAAGAAAAAGAAUCCCUAAAUCACCGACCGUCCAUUUGAUAUCUAACGGCCCUCUGAUGCAAAUUCCUGUUGAGGCAUUGCAGUUUGAUGCUUCUGCAUUUGAAGUGUUCGAAUAACCGAUGUUGAAAUGGCUAUUAGCAAAUUGCAUUGAUCUUUCCA